rnacentral:rRNA from 1 species
GUGAGGUAACGGCUCACCAAGGCUUCGACGGGUAGCUGGUCUGAGAGGACGAUCAGCCACACUGGGACUGAGACACGGCCCAGACUCCUACGGGAGGCAGCAGUAGGGAAUCUUGCGCAAUGGGCGAAAGCCUGACGCAGCAACGCCGCGUGGGGGAUGAAUGCCUUCGGGUUGUAAACCCCUUUCAGCAGGGACGAAACUGACGGUACCUGCAGAAGAAGCCCCGGCCAACUACGUGCCAGCAGCCGCGGUAAUACGUAGGGGGCAAGCGUUGUCCGGAUUUAUUGGGCGUAAAGAGCUCGUAGGCGGUUCGGUAAGUCGGGUGUGAAAACUUGAGGCUCAACCUUGAGACGCCACCCGAUACUGCUGUGACUAGAGUCCGGUAGAGGAGUGUGGAAUUCCUGGUGUAGCGGUGAAAUGCGCAGAUAUCAGGAGGAACACCUGCGGCGAAGGCGGCACUCUGGGCCGGAACUGACGCUGAGGAGCGAAAGCAUGGGUAGCAAACAGGAUUAGAUACCCUGGUAGUCCUAGCCGUAAACGUUGGGCACUAGGUGUGGCGGAUUCAUUGACAUCUGCCGUGCCGUAGCUAACGCAUUAAGUG